AUUUGGAAGACAUUACAAGGGUUAAACUAAUGGAUUCAGAUAUUUGAGUACUUCCAGAAUUCCCACCUACAAAGUGGUGGCUAGUAGUAGUGUAGUAGUAUCAAUGGCACCAAGAACUGUAACCCUGUGAGUCUACAGAGAUACAUUUUCAAACUUGUCUAAGAGAUAAUUAACUUACAGUCAAUUCAGGGUCAACUGAUCCAGCCCUAACUAUGAUCUUUAUAACAAAAAACAAAAAUUUCCAGCCUUAUCUUAAAAAUAGAGAGGUCUGUUUUGUGAAUUCAAACUGGGAACUGACUUUAUAGCAAAGGGGCCUGGUAGCUGAAGGCUCUACCUCACAGUCUCAGAGCAAAGUGUUGUGAUAUGGUGAUUGAUGAAAUCUUAUCAUUCAGGAUUAAGGAGGAUUUAAAAUUACUGUUUACUAAUUGGUUAACAAUGUCAUGGUCUGUGUGAGUAGAUGUAUUUUUCUAUAGAGCUGGAGCUUCCACCCCUAAACCCUUAACGGUCUGCACCUGUUUGCAAUUUGGACUACCUGCAUAAAAGACCAGCGCUCUCAGUGAGUCCUUGCCAGAUCUUAUGCUAGCCUGCGUUAGUGUGAGGCCUCCAAGUUGUGCUAUGCUUUUAUUGUAAAUAUUUCUUGACUUGCCUCUCCCUUCACCGUCCCCCCUCCUGAUCACUAAUGCGCAUGUUAAACACAGCAAAGUGGCAGGCAGAGUUAACAGCUCUGCCCAUCCGGGGUAAAUCCUGAUCAAUUCUGUUUUAAGAAGAAACUCCGGUGAAAUAAAAGAAUAGUGACUGCCGCUGCUCCUCUCUCCUUUAGUUGGCACCAGAGCGAAGAGGGAGACAGGACGGGCGAGGACGCUGCCAGUUUUUGCACCUUUUUUGGGGGGGACUUUUAGUGGAUUUUAUUUUUGUGGCUGAGGCCAUUGGACUUUUUAGCUGUAUUGUUUUUAUGCUUUUAACUUUAUGUUCUCCCUGGCCAGGCGUCUUUUAACUGUUUUUGUCUUUUUCUGAAAUAAUUUACAUUUUACAAAUCUUUUAUAUUUUUCUAUUGCCUUGGCUCCCCAACUGCUCUGUCCACUUUUGAAGGGUUUCCCUUCUUAGAAUAACACCUGUUGUCCACACGCUCACUCAGGGACCAAAGAGCAAACGGCUGAAUUCAUAAAAAUAAGAGGAGAAAAUGACCACCUCUUCACUGGGGUGAAGAAUUCAGCCACUAGGAUGGAGGACAAUUCUGAAGAAGAUGGGCCUGCAGGGGAAAGUCACCGCCUCGCAGGCCAAAAAGAAAUGGAACAACUU